rnacentral:rRNA from 1 species
UACGAAGGGGGCUAGCGUUGUUCGGAUUAACUGGGCGUAAAGGGUGCGUAGGCGGGGUUUUAAGUCAGGGGUGAAAUGCCGAGGCUCAACUUCGGAACUGCCUUUGAUACUGGAACUCUUGAGUCUGGGAGAGGUGAGUGGAACUGCGAGUGUAGAGGUGAAAUUCGUAGAUAUUCGCAAGAACACCAGUGGCGAAGGCGGCUCACUGGCCCGGAACUGACGCUGAGGCACGAAAGCCAGGGGAGCGAACGGG